GAUGAACGCUGGCGGCGUGCCUAAUACAUGCAAGUCGAGCGAACGGACUAUUAGCUUGCUUCUCUGAUGUUAGCGGCGGACGUGUGAGUAACACUUGGAUAACCUACCUAUAAGACUGGGAUCACUUCGUGAAUCCGGAGCUAAUACCAUAUAAUAUUUUGAACCGCAUGGUUCAUAAGUUAAAGACGGUCUUUCUGUCACUUAUAGAUGGUUCCGCGCUGCAUUAGCUAGUUGGUAAGGUAACGGGUUACCAAGGCAGCGAUGCAUAGCCGACCUGGGAGGGUGAUCGGCCAAACUGGAGGUGGAACACGGACAAGAAUCCUGCGGGAAGGAGAAGUAUGGAAGGGUCGGCAAAGGGCGAAAGCAUGACGGAGCAAGGCCGCGUGAGUGAUGAAGGUAUUCGGAUCGUAAAAAACGGUUAUUAGGGAAGAACAGAUGUGGAAGUAACUGAGAACAGAGUGACGGUACCGAGUAAGAAAGCAACGGCUAACUAAGUG
rnacentral:rRNA from 1 species